rnacentral:rRNA from 1 species
CCUACGGGAGGCAGCAGUGAGGAAUAUUGGUCAAUGGGCUUACGCCUGAACCAGCCAAGUCGCGUGAGGGAAGACUGCCCUAUGGGUUGUAAACCUCUUUUGUCAGGGAGCAACGCCGGCUACGUGUAGCCGGACUGAGAGUACCUGAAGAAAAAGCAUCGGCUAACUCCGUGCCAGCAGCCGCGGUAAUACGGAGGAUGCGAGCGUUAUCCGGAUUGAUUGGGUUUAAAGGGUGCGUAGGCGGAAUGCCAAGUCAGCGGUAAAAUCGCGGGGCUCAACCUCGCUCCGCCGUUGAAACUGGCGUUCUUGAGUGGGCGAGAAGUAUGCGGAAUGCGUGGUGUAGCGGUGAAAUGCAUAGAUAUCACGCAGAACUCCAAUUGCGAAGGCAGCAUACCGGCGCCCAACUGACGCUGAAGCACGAAAGCGUGGGUAUCGAACAGGAUUAGAUACCCCUGUAGUC